rnacentral:rRNA from 1 species
GAUUGAACGCUGGCGGCGUGCUUAACACAUGCAAGUCGAACGCGAAAGAGACUUCGGUCUCGAGUAGAGUGGCGCACGGGUGAGUAACGCGUGGAUAAUCUGCCCUCAUGACCGGGAUAACAGUUGGAAACGGCUGCUAAUACCGGAUACGCUCUGAAUGAACUUUUAGGGGAAAGACGGCCUCUGCUUGCAAGCUGUCGUAUGAGGAUGAGUCCGCGUCCCAUUAGCUAGUUGGCGGGGUAACGGCCCACCAAGGCAACGAUGGGUAGCCGAUCUGAGAGGAUGAUCGGCCACACUGGAACUGAAACACGGUCCAGACUCCUACGGGAGGCAGCAGUGGGGAAUAUUGCGCAAUGGGCGAAAGCCUGACGCAGCGACGCCGCGUGAGGGAUGAAGGUUUUCGGAUCGUAAACCUCUGUCAGAAGGGAAGAAAGUGCGUGGUGCUAAUCAGCCGCGCAUUGACGGUACCUUAAAAGGAAGCACCGGCUAACUCCGU